UCGGGAUGCUACUACCAAGGUUCUUAAAGUAAUUGAUAGGGACAAGUGGAUCCCACAAACUGACGUGAUAGUGUCCCACACGGAUCCAUCUCCUCCUUUUCCUUCCGAGACCCGCAAGAAACUUAGCAGUUCCCCAUUGCCACUACUAGUGUUGACAGGGGAAGCCGAAAACCCUUUCCAAUGCUAGGUAUCUCUCCCUCUUUCCACAUUCAAGUGGCCCUAACUUUCAUUGUGCCCUAACUUAGUUGAUCAGUUAGGCUUGGUAGGCGCAGGUGAAGGAAAUACGUAUUGGAGUUGGGAAAUGGUUAAACAUUUGUACUUCAGGAUUGUCGUUGAGUAGGUGCAAGGAAGAAAAAAGAAAACAGUAUAUGAAGCUGAAGGUGUUAGUGAAUCUAUUUCUCCAUGCGCUGUGCGAUCUUCUCAACCACUAUCUUUAGAAUAUCUUGCUGCAAAUCAACUCACUCAACAACCACCUAAGAACUCUCCUAUAGUUACUCAACAGCUUUCCUAUUUUUUAGGCAUUCAAGUUGCAACAGAUCAUACUGGUCUACAUCUUAAACAGUCAAAAUAUAUUUUUGACUUACUUGAGAAAACACGUAUGAUAGGUGCACGACCUCUGGCUUCUCCCACAGUUUCUGGCACCAAACUUUCAGCACAUGAGAGUGGGUUGUUGGAAGAUGCCACUGAAUAUCGACAAAUAGUAGGUGCCUUGUAGUAUUGCACUCUUUCUAAUCCAGAUAUCAAUUAUGCCGUCAACCAACUUUGUCAAUUCAUGCAUAAUCCACGUGAACCCCAUUGGAGUGCAGUCAAAAGAGUCAUGUGUUACUUGAAGGGUUCUAUUGAUUAUGGUUUACUCUACACUUCAUCCUCUAUUACUUUAAAUGCAUUUUGUGAUUCCGAUUGGGCUGAGAAUCUAGAUGAUUGCAAAUCUACUAGUGGUUAUGGGUUUUCAUUGGCCAAAAUCUUAUCUCUUGGAGUGCAAAAAAGCAAAAUGUGGUGUCCAAGUCCAGUACUGAAGUGGAGUAUCGGUCUAUGGCACUGGCUACAGCAGAGUUGUACUAGAUACAUAUGUUAUUUCGUGAUCUGCAUGUUUCUCUUGCUUCUCCUUCUAUUUUAUGGUGUGAUAAUGUUGGUGCGAUUGCGCUCGCUUCAAAUUUAAUUUUUCAUGUGCGCAUCAAGCAUGUUGAAGUUGAUUAUCAUUUUAUUCGAGAAAAGGUAGUUAAUAAAGACAUUUUGGUCCACCAUAUUUCUACACAAGAUCAACUAGCUGAUGUAUUUACAAAGGGACAGACAUCAAUAUAUUUUACAUUCUUGCGUUCCAAAUUAAUGAUGGAUAAUCUCCCCAUUAAUUUGCAAGGGGUGUUAGUAAAUCUAUUUCUCCAUCUGCUGCAUGAUCUUCUCAACCACUAUCUUCAGAAUAUCUUGUUGUAGAUUAAUCACUCAACAGCCACCUAAGAACUCUCCUAUAGUUACUCAACAGCUAGCAUAGUUAUUUUAAAUUUUGUAAAAUCUGUACUAAAAUUGUAUGUUAGCUUUGAAAGUGUAUAGUCAAAGUUAGCUCAUUAUUUUACUCUGAUUUGUUAUAUUGUGUAUCUAUUUAUUCUGAUCAAUGCACAAAUCAAGUCGUAUUGGUCUGUUAUAGGCUUGUUUAGGCUGGUUUGUGGUUUUUUUCUCUUGUUGCUUGGGUUGCAUUUGGGAGGUCUUUUUUUCUUUAUCUGUUAACUCCCAGAGGCUGGUUCUGUAACCACGGUUUCCCUCCACCACAAGUGAGGAUUUUUUAAUAAACUUGAAACGGAGCUACUAUUAGACAUGUGGCUACUGGCUCUUAAUAA